GCAUUGCAUUUCAUCUCAUCAUUUGAUCAUCUGAGAAAGAUAUGGAUCGAAUAAUGCAAUAUCAUCUUAGAGCUCUUUGAUCGAUCUUUGAUCAAUAUCUUUGACUCAUUUGAUGCUCGAUGAAAUCUUCCAAACACAGUAAUCCAUGCGGUUAUGGAAAACCAUUUUGACAAUGCCACCGUUUGGCAAUGGCUUUGAAGGGCAAACGGCAAACGAAAGUUUUCCAGCAUGUUACAACAGUACACCAAAGUUACAACAGUGGGUAGCACCAAAGUUGCGCGUUCUACUUAAAAUUAAAUGGAAGCCAGUUCUAGGGACCCUCAGCUGGACAUUCUGAAUAUAUUUAUUUUUAAACUCUAUUCUUUGUGGUUCGUUUUUUUAUAUGGAUUGAAGCUAUGUUCUAAUAAAAUAUUAUUUAGAAGUCCAAA